CCCAGUGUGGCAUAGUGGUUUCAGUGCUGGACUGUGACUCUAGUGACCAGGGUUUGAUUCCCUGCUCAGGCA